GAUGAACGCUAGCUACAGGCUUAACACAUGCAAGUCGAACGGAAGUAAGUGCUUCGGUAUUUACUUUAGUGGCGGACGGGUGAGUAACACGUGAGUAAUCUGCCUUCCAGAGGGGAAUAACGUUUGGAAACGAACGCUAAUACCGCAUAACGUACGGUCCUCACAUGGGGACUGUACCAAAGAUUUUAUCGCUGGAAGAUGAGCUCGCGGCCGAUUAGGUAGUUGGUGAGAUAACAGCCCACCAAGCCGACGAUCGGUAGCCGAACUGAGAGGUUGAUCGGCCACAUUGGGACUGAGACACGGCCCAG
rnacentral:rRNA from 1 species